AUGAGCCAUUUGCCACUAGCAAGGGAUUUCUAAGUGAUAUACAUUAAUAAUCUUUGCCACCACAUUACUUUGUUUUUGCUAUUCUUCGAGUCAUUAUUGCCAAGGUCGAGUUUCGUUUUGUUCUUCAGGACCUUACAUAAUUUGUAUUAGAAUAAAGCUACACUUACAAAGACUUUACUAAGAAUUUCCUACUGAAUGACAUGGUGGCCUAUGUGGCACGUGCCAUGUUGUUAAAUAAGUGUUAAAUCAUUACCCAAAUAAAGUUAGUGAAAAAGGAAAAAACAUUAAUGGGGCAAGAACAAUUAAAGGAAAUUUAGUUUUCCAUUUCACUGUAAUUUCUUCCCAAAAUUGCACGAAGGUCCUUUCAAGCAUUAUUACAAGCUGCUACUGAAGUCUACUCAACAAUAUUUGAAGCUCUUGAAAUGAUUUAUAACUUGUUUUAUGAAAAUGUCAUCGUAAUUAUAUUUUUCUAACAUUGGUGUUAUUAUUACUUCACCAAUGGUUAAUCAAUUGCUAUUAAUUGCAAUGUUACCGCAGUUAAUAAAACAUGCAAAAAUGGAGGUAUAUCAAGUAAAAUUAUUUCAUAAGGAAACUUCUAGAGAUAUUUCAAAAUAUUUUACUAGAAGUAAUAUAGGAUUUUUGGUCGUUGCUCCAUUGUGCCAAUAAAACUGAAUCUUCUUUUCUAAUCAAUGAAACUAAAAGCAUGAUUUGAGACGUAGGAGCAAUCCUUUGCCGAUGUAGCUAAGAAAACUUAAUAUGUAUUUUAAUCAAUGAAACUAAAAGCAUGAUUUAAGUAGGAUCUAUCCUUUAUUUACAUAAAACGAAUUCAAAUUGAGAAAGGAUCAAAUCCUUUCAUUCUGAAGCUUAAUAGAUUGUUGGACACCAUCUAAUGGGUGCAUUAAGAUACAUAUGAAAGUGAACCCCAUGAAUUAUUUAGUGGUUGUAUCAUGUAUGUAGAUUGUCUUCAAAUAUCUUUGUUAGUGCAUCCAUAGCCUUUGUAGGAAUCAAUUUCCUUUACUUGUCGUGCUUGAAUUCAGAAGAUGAACUUCAAAGAUUGUCGAGCACACUUCAAUGGCAAAUAAUGCUUGAGAGGAGAUUUGUUGUGACUUUGGAAGAAAGGAAAAUAGAAUAAGAAACUAAAAUUUCUUUGAUUUUUCUUGCCCCAGUUAUAUUUUUCUUCUCCUUUUCUACAGCACAAUCUUUAUUUUGAUUGCUGAUUGCGCCUUAUUAGGACACACGCUGCAUAGGCUGUUGUAUCAUUUAGUGAGUAAUUUUUAGUAAAGAUAUACCACGUGUAGCUUUACCUCUUGUAUUAUUUAUGUGUUUCGCUUGAUACUGAAUCUGUAUUAGUCUUAUGUUUCCAGCUGACAUCUCUGAAGUAUGCCAGUAAGGAUUUGAAAGGCAUGGUGAAAAUCAUCAAGAUCCAUGGCAUUGAUGUCUGUGAUUUCUCCUUUACUCUUUUAUUUCAGUCUUGAUGCUGACUACUUUUGGAUCAGCUGUUUCUUGGCCGGAUUUAUAGAGCUUGCAUUUGCAAGAUGAGAUGACGGACCUAAUGGAUGUAACUGAUGAUUAGCGAGAUACAAGAAACCUUUGGUGGGAGCUACAAUCUACCUGAUGACUUUAAUGCUGAAGAACUCAUGAACUAAAUGCUUUGUAAGCAGACAUGGGAAUGCAAACAGAGACCAGAGGGCCUAUGUAUCUCCAGUUGCAUGAGGGACUGGAUUUGGAUGCAGAGCUUGACUUGCCUUCAGCGCCAGCAUCCAGUAGGACAUGCUGCUGAACCUGCUGGCAGAUCCGAUGCCUGGGUGGAAGAUGACCUGGGUCUACCUGCCGUCCCUUAUGGAAAAUAAAUUAACCGCCUUCUUUCUUGAUCAUGUGUCGGUGCCAAGGAAGUGGAUGGAGACGCCUGCUGUAGAAGCGAGUAUUUGAAUUUAUAUGGUCAUGCGGCUUUGUUUUACUCCUUUCCACAGUGAUAGCGAUUCUUUCAACCAACUAAUGACGGCAAGGGAGUCAAUAAAUUACUCCACUUGCCGAGUUUUUGAGUCUGUAAAGGAGAAUGAAAGAUGAUUACAUUGUGGAAUUGCCAAUUGGUCUGCACUGCACUUUCAAAUCAGUGGUUA